CAGUAGCCGCGGUAAUACGGAGGGGGCUAGCGUUGUUCGGAAUUACUGGGCGUAAAGCGCACGUAGGCUGCUUUGUAAGUUAGAGGUGAAAGCCUGGUGCUCAACACCAGAACUGCCUUUAAGACUGCAGAGCUAGAACGUCGGAGAGGUGAGUGGAAUUCCGAGUGUAGAGGUGAAAUUCGUAGAUAUUCGGAAGAACACCAGUGGCGAAGGCGGCUCACUGGACGACUGUUGACGCUGAGGUGCGAAAGCGUGGGGAGCAAACAGGAUUAGAUACCCCCGUAGUCUUGUCUCUUAUACA
rnacentral:rRNA from 1 species